AACGAACGCUGGCGGCAGGCUUAACACAUGCACGUCGAACGGGUGUAGCAAUACAUCAGUGGCAGACGGGUGAGUAACACGCGGGAACCUUCCUAGGGGUACGGAACAACUCAGGGAAACUUGAGCUAAUACCGUAUACGUCCGUGAGGAGAAAGAUUUAUCGCCCUUAGACGGGCCCGCGUCGGAUUAGCUAGUUGGUGGGGUAACGGCCUACCAAGGCGACGAACCGUAGCUGAUCUGAGAGGAUGAUCAGCCACACUGGGACUGAGACACGGCCCAGACUCCUACGGGAGGCAGCAGUGGGGAAUCUUGGACAAUGGGCGCAAGCCUGAUCCAGCCAGGCCGCGUGAGUGAAGAAGGUCUUCGGAUUGUAAAGCUCUUUUGCCAGGGACGAUAAUGACGGUACCUGGAGAAUAAGCCCCGGCAAACUUCGUGCCAGCAGCCGCAGUAA
rnacentral:rRNA from 1 species